rnacentral:rRNA from 1 species
CAGGCCUAACACAUGCAAGUCGAACGGUAUCGCAAGAUACAGUGGCGACCGGGUGAGUAACACGUAGCAGACCUGCCGUUUCGCGGGGGACAACAGUUCGAAAGGACUGCUAAUACCGCAUACAUUCAGAAGAACUAGAUACUUCUGAAGAAACCUACGGGGCGGAACGAGGGGGCUGCGGCCCAUCAGGUAGUUGGUGAGGUAAUGGCUCACCAAGCCGACGACGGGUAGGGGACCUGAGAGGGUGACCCCCCACACUGGAACAGACAAACGGUCCAGACUCCUACGGGAGGCAGCAGUAAGGGAUAUUGGUCAAUGGGCGAAAGCCUGAACCAGCAACGCCGCGUGGAGGACGAAGGAUUUCGGUCUGUAAACUCCUUUUGACAGGGACGAGGAAGGACGGUACCUGUCGAAUCAGUCACGGCUAACUACGUGCAGCAGCCGCGGUAAAACGUAGGUGGCGAGCGUUAUCCGGAUUUACU